GAGCAAGGAGGAGGCCGCCAGGCAAGAAGAGGUGCUGGGGAAGCUUGACAAGAUUGUGAAAGAGUGGGUUAAGGAGUUGGCUAUUCAGAGAGGCCAAGUCAACGCAAAUGUCGUGCUUUUCACCUUCGGGUCAUACCAUCUAGGGGGAUAAAGUGAAGAAAAAGAAGAAAAGAUUAGAAGAUUAGUUUUAGGAUUUUCUUUUAUUUCCUUGCAAUUUUCCUUUUAUUGGA